GCUCACGGGGUCGCAGGCGGAGUUGCUAUGGAUGGGGCCGCGGUAGCCAGUGACCUGCUGACACUGGGGUACGAUGCCCUCCCAGAGGGGGCGUCUCGGGGCCCCGCGUGUGCGGACUUCAGGGCGCUGUGCGCGCGACUGGCGGCGGAGCUGACGACUCUGGGAGCUGUGGAGCGGCGAGAGGAGGGCACCGCGGUUCUCGGCGCCGGCCACGGUGCGUGAAAUGCUGGGUGGACGGCGGGUGGAGCCGCGGAACCCGCUGCUCCCUGAUGGCUUCUUCCUCCCGCAGGCCCGGACGCAGAGGAAGAGUUCCUGCGGCAGUUGGCUGGCCUGCUGCGGGCGUUGCACUGCCCGGAUCGCGCGCUCUGCGGCGGAGACUGCGCCACCAUGCUGCGGGAGCCCGGUGGCGGCCUGCGCCUGCUGCGGUUUCUUUGCUCUGAGCUCCAGGCUGCUCGCCUCUUGCAUCUAAAGCUCCAGCGUGAUCCUAGCCCUGUGCCGUCCUUUGGAGAAGGCACGAAGGAGGGAAAUGACGUGGUUCAGGAACUGAUGCUAACUCUUAAAGCCCUGGGGCUACCUAGACCCCUGCGUGGAACCCUGGCUAGCCAGCUACUUCGGGAGUUUCAUGACAAGAUCUCUGAGCUGCUGCCUGCCCUGCCCCCAGAGUCCAUGAAGCCCCUUCUUAACUCGCCACUGGAUGCAUCUCGAUGGGAAGCCCUGGAGGCUUUGUCCCAAAGCCUGACUGAACAGUACGGCUGCCGUCGCUGCCUCCUCCUGAAGCGCCUGGACCUCACAACAUCUGCUUUCCACUGGGGCGAUCGGGCAGAGGCCCACAGUGAGGUCAUGAAGGCAGUGCUCUGCCCAAUCCGAGGGCUUCUGACUCCAGAGUCUGAUGUCUCUACCGCACAUGUUCUGGCUGCCCGAGCUGACCUUUCUCGCCUGGUCCCAGCUACCAGUGUGGCUGCCCGACGAGGGACCAGCUGUGCAAUCAACAAGGUGCUUAUGGGUGAUGUGCCAGACCGUGGGGGGCGCCCAAGCGAGCUGGAGGCUCCCAUGCCUACCUGGAAGAGCCGAAGAGAGGAUGGAGGAAGGGGGAAAGCUGGCCAGCAGCGCUGGGGCCGCAGAAAGAAGAAGAAGUAAAGGGCCUUCCAGGGUCGGUUGCAGGUUCUGUUGGGUGCUGACGCCGCUGUCAAUCCUUGGGGGGGCCACUGAGGGUUGUCUUUGGCAAGCCUUGUCUUCCCUGUCCCGCAGGUCCUAAAUGCCCUACACCCAGCCACCACUCCACACCAUGAACCAUGAACUACGAACUGUGUUGUGUGAAAAAUAAAUUUAAUUCUUUUGAUUGUUA